AGUGGAUGGGGAGCAACCUAGUUGUGCGUGUGUAAAGGUAGUGCCAAGAAAAGCGAUGAUCAUGUUGAAAAUCAAUUCCCGGUACCCGAAACCGACACAGGUGGGCAAGUAGAGAAUACUAAGGGGCGCGAGGUAACUCUCUCCAAGGAACUCGGCAAAAUGACCCCGUAACUUAGGGAGAAGGGGUGCCACCGAGAGGUGGUCGCAGUGAAGAGGCCCAGGCGACUGUUUAGCAAAACAUAGGUCUCUGCAAACUCGAAAGAGGAGGUAUAGGGGCUGACGCCUGCCCAGUGCCGGAAGGUUAAAGAAGUUGGUCAGUUUUAGGAUGAAGCUAGCGACUGAAGCCCCGGUGAACGGCGGCCGUAACUGUAACGGUCCUAAGGUAGCGAAAUUCCUUGUCGGGUAAGUUCCGACCCGCACGAAAGGCGUAACGAUCUGGGCGCUGUCUCGGAGAGAGGCUCGGCGAAAUAGGAUUGUCUGUGAAGAUACGGACUACCUGCAUUUGGACAGAAAGACCCUAUGAAGCUUUACUAUAGCUUGGAAUUGUGUUCGGGCUUCCUGUGCGCAGGAUAGGUGGGAGGCGUAGAAGGUAUUCUUGUGGGGAUACUGGAGCCAACGGUGAGAUACCACUCUCAGGAGGCUAGAAUUCUAACUUAAUUAAGGACAGUUUCAGGUGGGUAGUUUGACUGGGGCGGUCGCCUCCAAAAAGGUAACGGAGGCGUACAAAGGUUCCCUCAGACUGGUUGGAAAUCAGUCGAAGAGUGCAAAGGCAGAAGGGAGCUUGACUGCGAGAAGUACAGUUCGAGCAGGGUGGAAACACGGUCUUAGUGAUCCGACGGUGCUGUGUGGAAGGGCCGUCGCUCAACGGAUAAAAGUUACUCUAAGGAUAACAGGCUGAUCUCCCCCAAGAGUUCACAUCGACGGGGAGGUUUGGCACCUCGAUGUCGGCUCAUCGCAACCUGGGGCGGAAGUACGUCCCAAGGGUUGGGCUGUUCGCCCAUUAAAGCGGUACGUGAGCUGGGUUCAGAACGUCGUGAGACAGUUCGGUCCAUAUCCGAUGUAGGCGUGAGAAUAUUGAGAGGAGCCUUCCUUAGUACGAGAGGACCGGGAAGGACGCACCGCUGGUGUACCUGUUAUGAUGCCAAUUGUAAACGCAGGGUAGCCAAGUGCGGAGAGGAUAACCGCUGAAAGCAUCUAAGUGGGAAGCCCACCUCAAGAUGAGUAUUCUGGUGUAAGGUCACGGGAAGACGACCCGUAAAUAGGCACGAGGUGGAAGUGCAGAGAUGUAUGAAGCCGAAGUGUACUAAUAGACCGUCGGC
rnacentral:rRNA from 1 species